ACUGUCAUGUGUUUAUUAAAUGGAAUCAGUUGGAGGAUUUUGACAGCAUUUAAAGGAAUUACAAGUUUAUGUUUGGUUUUAUUUAUUGCGACACAAGAUAACAACAAAAACUACCAGAGGAAAAAAAAAAACCCACAGAGACGUCAAUUCAUCAUCAUCGUUGUGAAACUCGUUUGAAUAAUUAAGAAUAAAAACGGAAUAUUUCACAUGGCAGGUUGUAAACACAAAGUGAUUAUUAGUUUGAUGAUCAAAGUUUGCAGCUAAAAGAGAAACAGAAAAUCCAACAGAAACUUAUAACAUUGCCUUCAAUGAAUUAAAAAUAUUCAUAACAUAAAAAUGUUGACUUAAAACAAUGAUAAAGAAGACUUCUGUCUGUUCAUUAGCAGAACAAGAUACAAAUGCCACUGCUAAAGAAGCUGGGGCCUUCACAGAAUAUACAUGUAUAUAUAAACAUAUACAUAGAUUGAACCCAGAGAUUUACAUAUGAUUACCAAAAACACUUUACACUUUGCUAAAUGCCAGAAAAAUAAGAAAAGUUAUCUUUGAAUUAGUAAGUGUUUCACCAGCUCUGUCAGGAGGAACGGGUCAAAAGUUCAGCAAACUACAGGAAACGUUUGACUCAAGUCAUACAGAUUAAAAAGUAACUGCAUAAAAUAUCAGGGAAAUGUUUGUAAAGAGCUGCAGCUUCAGAGGCUCUGCAGGUGAUGAUGGUGGUGAUGGAGAGGAGGAUGAUCAGUGAGUGCAAUACUCUGGUGAUGAAGAAUUUCCUGCUCGGUACUCAAGCUCCGCCUCAUCUGUUCAGAAAACAGCAGCAGGCGUUAAUCA